GAAGUGUGAACGGCAGGCCUAAUCCAAUACGACAGCCACUUUUAGGGUUUAUACUAAGGUUGGAACCCUGAGGUUGAGUUUCAUUUCAUUUGACAUCAACAAUGGGAUUCUGGGGGAUUGAAGUGAAACCUGGCAAACCGUAUCCUUAUCAUGCAGACAAUGUGCAAGGAAAACUUCACGUGACUCAGGCUACUCUAGGCAUUGGCUCGUCGACAGAGAAAAGCAUUCUUCAGUGCUCUUCUGGACACAAAAGUCCAGUUUUCUUGUGUUCACUGCUACCAAAUAUGAGUGAGUCAUGCCCUUUGAAUCUUGAGUUUGACGAUGAUGACUUAGUGGCAUUCUCAGUGAUCGGUUCACGAAGCAUCCAUCUUUCUGGUUAUUUUGUGGCCGAUGAUGGGGAUGAUCUUAGAGAUGACUAUGAAUAUGAUUCAUUGGGAGAGGAUAUUGUGGGAACUGAGACAGAGGAAUCAUCUGAAUAUGAUAGUGAAGAUGAUGAAUAUGAUGAUGACUUUUUCAAUGAUGAUGAUAUUAACUUGUACCAAUCUUCGCCAGUCCAAAAUCGUGGAGUUGUAAUUGAGGAAAUAGUGGAAGAUGAUAAACCUGAAAAUGGAGAUGAUUCAACUAAGAAAUUGAUGAAAAAGAAACAAGUAGCUCCCUCGAAAGAGAAAGACAACAAAAGUUCUCAGCUUCCAAUUGUUGUUAGGGGUGAGACUGACCAUGUUCUGGAAAGUGAAGAUGAUGAUGAUGUGGAUAGUGAAGAUGAAGAUGGUUUUCCAAUUUCCACUACAGCGAAAUCUAAAUCUGAGUCUCAGAAGGUGGAAGCAGAAAUGAAAGGGGAACAGACACGUAAAAAAACUGAGAAAGCUAACAAGAAGGCAAAAGGUGUUGAUCAUUCUGCUAGUUUAAAACGAAAAGUUCAAAGUGCUGAUGAAGAUGAGCAACUGCAAGAUGGGAAAAAGAAGAAGAAUAAGUUGAAAGAACAUGGUAAAGGGGAAAGUGCUCAUGCAUCUGGCAAUAGUAAUGAGACUAAUUUUACUAUGCCAGAUGAAAAGCAUCCCAAGGUGGUUAAAGCUACACCCAACCCGAACAAUGUUUCUCAUGCAAAGGAUGGGCAUGAUGGAAAGUUAUCCAACAACGAGGACCUUGCUGAGAAGAAAAACAAGAAGAAAAAGAAGAAAAAGACCAACGAGUCUGUAGAGGUAGCUACUGUAAAUGAAAUUGAUCCAACUGUUGAAAAUCAGAAUUUGUCCACCUCAGAGAGAAAAGGGAAGAAACAAACUGAAGCUAAGCCAUCUCAAGUGAGAACCUUUCCAAAUGGGUUGGUUAUAGAGGAGCUAUUUAUGGGUAAACCAGAUGGCAAAAGAGCCACUCUCGGAAAGAAGGUCAGUGUUAAAUAUAUUGGGAAGCUGCAAAAAGAUGGGAAAAUAUUUGACUCAAACGUGGGAAGAGCACCCUUUAAAUUUCGCCUUGGUGUAGGACAAGUCAUCAAGGGGUGGGAGGUUGGGGUCAAUGGGAUGAGGAUUGGCGACAAAAGAAGAAUCACAGUUCCACCAUCGAUGGGAUACGCAGACAAACGUGUUGGGAGUAUACCACCAAAUUCGUGGCUUGUAUUUGAUGUCGAGUUAGUUGGUGUUGAUCGCUGACUUCAAUUUUUACAGUUCUUGCUUCCAUUUUCCUAUCCCUCACUGUUUCAGCUGCGAAAUAGUCCGAACCCAUCAGGCUGGGAAAAGUGCAGAGCUCACAUGGAUUUCCUGGAAAGCUGGUUGACUGUUCAAGGGAUUGAUUCGAAGACAAUUUUGAGGAAGCUAUUAAUUUUUGGCGAAUUUGAAAAAUCGACAAAAGAUCCAGGAAUGAAUAUCAAAUCGAGGGAUUCACAUCUGAAUGACGUUUACUAAUAUAUCUAAAACUUGGCAAGAAGUGGAGGAACGAUUGUAGGAGGUUUGGUUAUGCAAAUUAUGGAUGAAGAG